AUUAUUAUUAUCAAUGUUUAUUUAUAUAUAGAUGGAUACAAAUGAAAUUCAUUCACAUUUACUACAAUAUUAUAUAUAGUACAAGUGUACCUGACUGAGUCCCUAUAGUAUUAUGUACAGUAUAAUCAGCAAAAUAGAUAUAUUACACAGUUUUCUGUUUGUUGUAUACUGACAUCACUGCUGUGUACACACACACACAUUUAUCUUGCUGUUUACCUACAUUUGCUACAUCAUAUAUAAUAGUUAUACCUAACAUGUAAACAUUAAUUGCCCAUAAUAUAUACAGUAUAAUACAAAUAUACUUGAGUAGUGUAAAUGUUAAGGUUAAGACCCUUAAAUAUAAUUUUUAUACAAAUGUACAAGAUAAUUUUGAGACCCUGCAAGAUUCAUUGUAUAAAUUUGCCUAACUAAUUGCCAUGUUAAGACCCUGUAAUGAUAUUUAUUACUCCGCCAAAGAACGGCAGAGUUAUGCACGAUCAGUGUACGUCUGUCUGUCUGAAAUAUUACUCAGAAACAGAUAAACAGAUUUGGAUGAAAUUUUCAGGGGAAGUCAGAAAUGACACAAGGAGCACCUCAUUACAUUCUCACAGUGAUGCGGCUUACAGUCUGGAUCCACGGAUUUGUUAAGGAUUUCCCAUUGCGAGAUAUAGCUGCCGACACGGCGUCACUGUAACCGACAAAGUUCACAACACAAUGAAUUAGUUCCUAAAACACUCUCAAUGCUGGAGAGCAUUUGUGAUGCUGAAGCAGUGAGCAGUUUUUCUGUUUCUUCUCUGGAGAUGCACAAUGAGGGACGUCUGCAGCGACUGAGAAAGAGUCUCACCACAUCCUGACAUGAGGAAAAAGACUUUAUUGAAGACUAGAAUGAGUAAAACUAUCAGACAGCAGACGGCUGCAUUCAAGUCUGUAGCUGCUGAAUUCAUGGAUGAAUCAUCUGGCACUAGAGAGAAAGACCAUCAAACAUCCACGUCAGCUGAUGGAGGUCCAAGAGUCUCACCCAACAAACAACCUACAGAGUGAAGACCUCGAAUCUGAUUGGACA
ensembl:lncRNA